GUAGGCCCCAAAUAAU
rnacentral:rRNA from 1 species